AUGAGGUUAAUCUACCAUUUUGGCAACCUAUGCAUUGACAACCUCCAAUGGCUCAAUUCUGCGAAUGUGGUGCUCUUUCCUAAAAAGGAUGGGGCCGAGGGUAUUAGUGACUAUAGGUCGAUUAGCCUUAUCCAUGUGAUCGCUAAGAUCAUGGCCAAGAUGCUAGCGGCCUGACGUGGGACGCACAUGAAUAACCUCAUUUCCAACGCCCAAAGCGCUUUCAUCAAGAAAAGAAGCAUCCACAAAAACUUCAUGUAUGUGCGCAACCUUGCUAGAUGCCUCCACAAGAACAAAACUCCAUCUCUACUCUCAAGCUUAACAUCCAUAAAGCGUUUUAUUUGGUACGUUGGGACUAUAUUCUUGACCUCCUGCAAUAGAGAGGCCUACCAAGCAAAUUUCGAGAUUGGAUCGUUGUCUUGCUAUGCACCUCCACCUCCUGGAUUCUACUUAAUGGUGUGGCUGGUCAUCCCAUCAAGCACAGUCGUGGGCUUCAUCAAGGGGACCCCCUAUCGCCUCUCCUAUUCAUCCUCGCCAUUGACUUGCUCCAACAACUUCUUGACUCGGCCACUCGACAUGGCCGCCUUCACAAGAUAA
rnacentral:rRNA from 1 species